GGAGGGAUUGGGAAGGGGAUGGGGAUGAAGUUCAUAAAAGCACAGUGGCUAGACCUGUAACUCAUGGCAGUGGCCAACUAUUUGUCCAAUGAGCAGUAAAUGGCCUCUAAAGUUUCUCCAUUGUGUCUAUGACCUUGCAUUUCAGCAUCUGAAAAGAAACCACAAGAGGCUGGGUUGGUGCAAUGUUCCUUUCUUCCCAGGACUUUCUGGUCUUCAAGGCUUUCUUAUGAGAUGGAAGACCGACGGAUGUAGAAGUUUCUAAGAGGACAGGCUGUGAAGUUUGGGGGAGGUCUUGACGGUGGUGGAAAUGGUGGGAUCCACGCAUGGCAUCUGGAAGAAGGAGAGAAAGGAAGAGAAAGAGGCAAGGAGGGAGGAGGAAAAUGAGGCCUUGAAAUAUCAUACACAGUUCCUUGGAUGGAAGGAGGAGCGAGCUCAUUUUCCAGAUGAGGAAAGGAACUGAAGCACAGAGGAAGAAGUUACACAGGAAAUUGCAGACCUGAAAUUUAUAUCCAGCUCUCACUAGCUCUGAAGGUUGCGAGAAGAUUUUACAGUGAUCUUUCUGACUGCGUGGAGAAGAAGGCCUCAGGGGAAGAGGAGAACCAGUCAUUGGUGUGGCCUAAGUCGAAGGAGGAACUGUGGUGAGUCUUCUCCCUGACCCCCUUUUCCCACCCAUCCUGACAUACUUCUUCUGUUUUGCAUUCCCAGUG